ACCACUGUUAUUAUUAGUAUGUUUUAUUUAUUAUUUUUGUUAUUUAUGUACGUUUAGGUAAUGUUGAUCUUGGAACUGCUUGUGGCAAGUAUUACCGUGUUUCCUGCCUUAGCAUUAUCGAUCCAGGUACUACAAACUUUGUUAUUUGGUUCAUUAAAUUUCAUAUCUACGUGGUUGGAUAAGUAUGUUACUUGUGAUUUUGAAUCUAGAUAGUGUUUUGCUUUCCUAAAUGUAGAAUCAAUGCAUGCAUGUAAGUUGCUAUCCUAGCUUGAUAUAAUAUGGGAUUAAUGUGGUGUGUUCUUGGAGAUGUAAUCAACUAAACAAGAAAAUCUGGAAACUUUUUUUAUCAAUAUCCUGGAACAAAAUAAUAAUAGCCUAAGAUUUAUACUAAGGUUUUUACAACAAGGCAAAGGUGACCUAUCACCUUUUCAACAAGUCAAAGAGUCUAAAGUGAGGAUAAAUUCCAGUAGGUAAUUGACAACUAAUUACAUCAUAAUGGGAGGAACUAAACUAGUUAUCUUGAAUAUGAAAUGUGAAUUACAUUCUUUUAUAGCCACAUAUCAUUAUAAUGUAUUGUAAACAUUUAUAAUUUGAUAUAUGGCUAUCAAAUGAUUUAUAAUCACAGAAAGACGUAGAGGAUGUAGGAAAACGCGUACAUUGUGCUUAGGAUAAGAUAUUUUGUUACACAUUUUGUCACAUAUUUUGUCAUAUAUUUUGUUCACAUAUUUUGUGUUCGAGCUGCCAUGGAAAAUACAGUGCUAGAGGAAAAUACAGCUGCCAUGUUCAAUAUCAAUGAGACACUAAAAGUUGUUCUCAGCCUUCUACUUCAAAUCCCAACACUUUAGAAUCCAUUUUCAUUCAAAAGGUUUUGCUACAAUCCAUUAGAGCAAUGAAGCCAUAUUUACGCCAAUUCAUUGAUGUAUAGGCUUUUUUGUAGGUUAGGUAGGAAUUUUUUUUUUGUUUAAAUGUAGUUAUUUAAAUAGUUUGUUCGUACCAAAACACAUUUGUACCAACAAUUAAAGCAAUAUUAGAAAGUGUAUGUUUCUUUCUAUUAAAGCGUUCACCGUUUCUUUCCAUAGGU